rnacentral:rRNA from 1 species
GUGGGGAAUAUUGGGCAAUGGGCGCAAGCCUGACCCAGCAACGCCGCGUGAAGGAAGAAGGCUUUCGGGUUGUAAACUUCUUUUGUCAGGGACGAGUAGAAGACGGUACCUGACGAAUAAGCCACGGCUAACUACGUGCCAGCAGCCGCGGUAAUACGUAGGUGGCAAGCGUUGUCCGGAUUUACUGGGUGUAAAGGGCGUGUAGCCGGGAAGGCAAGUCAGAUGUGAAAUCCACGGGCUCAACUCGUGAACUGCAUUUGAAACUGUUUUUCUUGAGUAGCGGAGAGGCAAUCGGAAUUCCUAGUGUAGCGGUGAAAUGCGUAGAUAUUAGGAGGAACACCAGUGGCGAAGGCGGAUUGCUGGACGACAACUGACGGUGAGGCGCGAAAGCGUGGGGAGCAAACAGGAUUAGAAACCCGAGUAGUCC